UGAAUAUUCGAAUUGCUGAAUACUCGAAUUACUAAAUCGAGUAUCAUGAUUCGUUUUAUUUGAAUAGGAAGAUCUGAUGC
rnacentral:snoRNA from 1 species